UGGAAAGAAAACUAUUGGCAAUAAAUGGUAUGUUUCUUACUACAAUAAAACCCCAUAAAUGGCAUGUUUCUUACUACAACAAAUAUAGAAUUGGUACGUAGAAUUAUAUAUCAGUCUUCAGGUAAAAUCGAACUAACAUGUCAAAAGAAUAGACGAGGGGUCCUAUAUAACUAGAAACAGCUCUACAUGAUAUUAGAUGAGUAGAGUGACACAUGUAUCUAUUAAUGUAAUGGUUCUACAAUCAUUGAUCGAUCUUGCUUAGCUAAAUAGACAUGUUAAGAUCUGAGAACUUCUAUCUCGUUGCCAAUUGAAAACUCUAACUAACAAAUUAAAAGACACCAAGAUUUAAUGAAUAUUCACCUAGUGAGCCGUUUCUUGUAAUAUCCCAACGGCUCAAGAAGAUAACACUCACGACCACACCAAAAAGCCUGAGACAACUCCACUAAUCAGUCAGCUACUCCUCAGGAAACUAGAAGGUAUGGACUAGGAGGGAUGGACCGAGCAAACUUCACACCAAAAAUCCUUAGAAGGAAGCUAGGAGGUAUGGACCGAGCAAACUCCACUAAUCAAUCAGCUCAUCCUCAGGAAACUUAUCUCUCCCUCUGGUUCUCUGUUUUCCAAUUGCCUUGAUGUGAAACCAUAGCACUCUAUUUCUUGUACUUUUUUAUAUCACCUCCCAAUCUGGUCUCUUCCGCAAAACUGUAAACUCUGACUAUUUCUUAUAUAUAAAUCGGUAUCUCUUUAAAAAAAA
rnacentral:lncRNA from 1 species